rnacentral:rRNA from 1 species
UACGUAGGGUGCAAGCAUUAAUCGGAAUUACUGGGCGUAAAGCGUGCGCAGGCGGUUUUGUAAGUUUGUCGUGAAAGCCCCGGGCUCAACCUGGGAAUUGCGAUGAAGACUGCAAGGCUUGAAUCUGGCAGAGGGGGGUAGAAUUCCACGUGUAGCAGUGAAAUGCGUAGAGAUGUGGAGGAACACCGAUGGCGAAGGCAGCCCCCUGGGUCAAGAUUGACGCUCAUGCACGAAAGCGUGGGGAGCAAACGGG